UUUGAAUUGAUGAUCAUUGGUGAAGAUCCUAGGUGGCUACAACUUACAGUUUCUGAGUUUUAGUGGCCAACCGACAUUGGUUAAUUGUCAAAGGGGCAUAACCCUACCAAUGAGUCGUUGAAUAUUUUCGAUACAAAUGUAACGAAGAACGAUGGUCUGUUCCAGAACAAAUUCCACCCUUUCUUUUUUUCUACCUAUUAUGGUUAUGGAGUGAGAAUGGUAACAAGAUUUUCGGUGUUAGGGGAGAUAACCGUUAUAAAAGAAAUGUUACGGGGUCGUGUCUUCACUACAAGAUAGCUUUUGGUCAACCGAAACUAGACACCUAAUAUCAUUUCAACAUGUCGCGUACAUUUUUUGGAAAAUUUCGUUAAAGAUUGGCGGUGAGGAAUAAUAAUAAUCAGAAGAAAUACAGAAAAAAAGAAAGACCUUAAUUACAAGGAUUUUAUAGGAUUUUCAAAUAUGGCUUUUAAAACUAUAUGUAAUGAAAUGAUGAAAAGAAAAGAAGGGGUUAGCGGGGAUUUUUUUUUUUAACACUACAUGGAUUAAACCAGAGGAUUCCGAAUAUCUGGU
rnacentral:lncRNA from 1 species